UUGCAAUUCCCAUCAGUGUGUUCCUGUGUUAAUUUGUUUAGUUUCAGAGGACACUACUUUUUACAAAAUAGCUUUACGUUGGCAGAAUACAUUUUCAACGGCUCCAGACAACUUGUUCAGCCUUUACAUGACCUGGAAUAAGAUAAUUAACAAACUUUUUAUAUUUUACGACAGUUUACAUUAGGAUAAUUGCACUAUAAAUAACUUACAAAUAUUCAGGUCAACCAGACUCGAAGCUUGAACCGUGAAGCUUUUCAGUUGGAAAUCACUACACGACUAAUGAGGACCAUCCAGGGGCCACUCCCUCUAAUGUUGAGAAUCGGGACCCUAACCAACUAUUGAUGAACCCUGAACAAUGUAAAGAAGACCCAUUUGGUUUUAAAACCAAUGUGUAUUAUGAAAAUCAGUUCUUACCUUGGAGAUGCGUGCCUACUGCAAUGAACGUCAUGGAGAUAUGUCAAAACAACAUGGAUUUGACUGUGCCUGAAAAGAACAGUACUUGCUAAGCUGUGGAAUUAGAAUACUACUACUCAGUAGUCAAAAAACAUCAAUAGACCUGGAAGAAGAGAACAAAGGAAAAAAUUGCUGCUAUUUUUGCUGCUAACGUGUCUGCUAUUGUGUUUAGCAAAUAGCUGAAAAAUUAUGAAAGAAUGUUGUUGUUACACUCAAAAAAUAAACACAUAUAUUAAGCAUUGAACUUGCAUUGUCGUUUCAAAUUCAUACAAAUAAUAAGGGCUUAUUUACACUACACUACAUUUUCCAAG
ensembl:lncRNA